rnacentral:tRNA from 1 species
GGUCUUAUAUUCAAAAUUAAUAAUGAUAUUAGAAUGCAAUUCUAAAGGUAUAGAAUUAUUAAGACUU